GACGAACGCUGGCGGCGUGCUUAACACAUGCAAGUCGAACGGAAAGGCCCUGCUUUUGUGGGGUGCUCGAGUGGCGAACGGGUGAGUAACACGUGAGUAACCUGCCCUUGACUUUGGGAUAACUUCAGGAAACUUGGGCUAAUACCGGAUAGGAUCUCCUGCUGCAUUGUGGGUGUUGGAAAGUUUCGGCGGUUGGGGAUGGACUCGCGGCUUAUCAGCUUGUUGGUGGGGUAGUGGCUUACCAAGGCUUUGACGGGUAGCCGGCCUGAGAGGGUGACCGGCCACAUUGGGACUGAGAUACGGCGCAGAAGCAUACGGGAGGCAGCAGUGGGGAAUAUUGCACAAUGGGCGGAAGCCUGAUGCAGCAACGCCGCGUGCGGGAUGACGGCCUUCGGGUUGUAAACCGCUUUAGCCUGUGACGAAGCGUGAGUGACGGUAAUGGGUAAAGAAGCACCGGCUAACUACGUG
rnacentral:rRNA from 1 species